UACGUAGGUGACAAGCGUUGUUCGGAUUCACUGGGCGUAAAGGGUGCGCAGGUGGUCGGGUAAGUCUGAUGUGAAAUCCCGCAGCUUAACUGCGGAAUGGCAUUGGAUACUAUUCGGCUAGAGGGUUGGAGGGGGGACUGGAAUUCUCGGUGUAGCAGUGAAAUGCGUAGAUAUCGAGAGGAACACCAGUGGCGAAGGCGAGUCCCUGGACAACUCCUGACGCUGAGGCACGAAAGCUAGGGGAGCAAACAGG
rnacentral:rRNA from 1 species